ensembl:lncRNA
GAUGUAUUUUUAUUAUUUUUAUUUUUAUUUUUGUUUUGGUUUUGUUUUUAUUUUUAUUUUUAUUAUUUUUAUUUUUAUUAUUUGUGUCUUCCUAUUCCUGUUCGCAGCAGGUAACGCAAAUGCCCGGCUGCAGAGGCACCGAGCAGCUGCCUCCCACGUCUGAGUGUCUCCGGAGGGCUGCAGGGUGCCACGGCCCCCACCAGCCCCACACAGCGACACGAUUUUCUGCAGGUCCCUGGGAGCACUGACCGUAUGAAAUGGCCUUCUGCCCAGUAUCACCAUCGUGGCUUAUGUUCCUCCAUAAAGCUCUGGUACCACGUGCUGAGGCUUCCACAGUACGUGUGCCUAAGAAAAGACCAACCAGGCAGGGUUGCCCUGUGGGCAUCUCCCAGUUCCUCCGCAGUUAGGAACCUUCAUUUCAUCACCUCCAGAUAAGAGGGAUGACAAUGGCCAAAGCCGCUCUCCGGGGACCGUCCCCAGGCACCCCACGUCCCGCGGCAGCGCCAGCAGCAGGCUGCGGCUCCCGGGCGCUGCUGAGCCGCGUGCGCGGUCCCGCACUGCGAGGCUCCGGGGCGAGCAGCAACUUUGUCAUCUCUUCGGCAGAGCCAUUGCAGCCUGGGGAGCUCCUGGAGGUCCAUGCGGAGAUUUUGGUGCUUCCAUGAGGCCAGUGGGGCCGAGGCAGCAGGUUCGGCCUUUGUUUAUAAAUACAUAUGGGUAUGUAUGCACACAUGCGUCUGUUUCAGUGUUUUCCUUUUCUUUCCUGGAGAAGGGACAAGAGAAAAAGAGAAAAAAAAUCAUUACUUUCUUCUUUUCUCCUUAUAUUUAUGCACUGGAAGAGCACUGACAAUGAACCCUACCACAGCUGGAUGAAAAGCAUUAAAGGAUGAACCUAAGCACCCACGCUCAUCCCGCAGCCCACAGAAACCCACGGGUCUGCUUAAGGAACAGGCACCUUGGCGAGCCCGCAGGGAGCCUCUUAGCCUGAAACUGUUGGCUUCGGAUCUGGGUCAGAGCACGGAUCGAUACGCGGCUGUGGAUCUCAGCACUGCCCUUCCGUCGGCGUCUGACUCCCAGAUUUGCUCCAUCAUUUCCCCAACUGAUAACACCACAGGCUCUUUCCGAGCACCGUGUCAGCCUGCUGUGCCUUUUCCCCCACACGACCAGCUUCAGCUUCCCGAGCCGCAGGACACGCGGACUCGAGCACCGGGAGGAGCAUUGCAGGGGCUCGGCCGGGACCCCAGCUGCUGGAUCUCGCCCACUGACCCCUCGUGGGACCACGGAGGUUCUUUUGCCCGCAGCCCAACGUUUGGCUCAGAUGAAUUGCACAGAGGUUGGCUGAGACCUACAGGCACCUGCGGGCAGAGGACCGACCUCCACCCCGCUGCCAAAAGGUGCGCUCUGCUUGUGCACCCCGCGGCCGGGCUGCAUCUUUAUUGCGCUGAGGACAGCGGGGGCGAGCCAGCGUCCCCUCGUCCCCACCGCCCCGCCACCGGCCCGGCAGCUGCCCGCGCUCCCUGCCCACCCUGCCUGCUGCUGCGUGCCCGCAGGACCGGAGCCAUUCCCCCUGGAAACGACCUCGGCACGCCAGCCAGCGAGCACGGAUGGCCAAGUGAAUGUAAGCUGAUGCUAAUAAAUCUCCUGAGC